UGGGGAAUUUUGGACAAUGGGCGAAAGCCUGAUCCAGCCAUACCGCGUGAGUGAAGAAGGCCUUCGGGUUGUAAAGCUCUUUCAGCCGGAAAGAAAAGGUUUCGGAUAAUACCUGGAACUGAUGACGGUACCGGAAGAAGAAGCACCGGCUAACUACGUGCCAGCAGCCGCGGUAAUACGUAGGGUGCGAGCGUUAAUCGGAAUUACUGGGCGUAAAGCGUGCGCAGGCGGUUUUUUAAGCCAGAUGUGAAAUCCCCGGGCUUAACCUGGGAACUGCAUUUGGAACUGGAAGACUAGAGUGUAGCAGAGGGGGGUAGAAUUCCACGUGUAGCAGUGAAAUGCGUAGAUAUGUGGAGGAAUACCAAUGGCGAAGGCAGCCCCCUGGGUUAACACUGACGCUCAUGCACGAAAGCGUGGGGAGCAAACAGGAUUAGAUACCCUGGUAGUCCACGCCCUAAACGAUGUCAACUAGUUGUUGGGGGAGGAGACUUCCUUAGUAACGCAGCUAACGCGUGAAGUUGACCGCCUGGGGAGUACGGUCGCAAGAUUA
rnacentral:rRNA from 1 species